rnacentral:rRNA from 1 species
UGGGGAAUAUUGGACAAUGGGCGCAAGCCUGAUCCAGCAAUGCCGCGUGUGUGAAGAAGGCCUUCGGGUUGUAAAGCACUUUUAUCAGGAGCGAAACGCUGUCGGCUAAUACCCGGCGGAACUGACGGUGCCUGAGGAAUAAGCACCGGCUAACUUCGUGCCAGCAGCCGCGGUAAUACGAAGGGUGCAAGCGUUAAUCGGAAUUACUGGGCGUAAAGCGUGCGUAGGCGGUUUCUUAAGUCUGCUGUGAAAUCCCCGGGCUCAACCUGGGAAUGGCAGUGGAUACUGGGAGGCUAGAGUGUGUCAGAGGGUGGUGGAAUUCCCGGUGUAGCGGUGAAAUGCGUAGAGAUCGGGAGGAACAUCAGUGGCGAAGGCGGCCACCUGGGACAACACUGACGCUGAGGCACGAAAGCGUGGGGAGCAAACAGGAUUAGAUACCCUGGUAGUCCACGCCCUAAACGAUGCGAACUGGAUGUUGGUCUCAACUCGGAGAUCAGUGUCGAAGCUAACGCGUUAAGUUCGCCGCCUGGGGAGU